GCGGGCGUGGCGGAAUUGGAAUUCGCGCGGGCCUUAGGAGCCCGUGGGCGUAAGCCCGUGGGGGUUCGAGUCCCUCCGCCCGCACCA
rnacentral:tRNA from 1 species